AUUGAACGCUGGCGGCAGGCCUAACACAUGCAAGUCGAGCGAGCGGCGGACGGGUGAGUAAUGUAUGGGGACUGCCCGAUAGAGGGGGAUAACUACUGGAAACGGUAGCUAAUACCGCAUACUAUCGGAUAACCCAUAUGGGAUUAGCUAGUAGGUGAGGUAAUGGCUCACCUAGGCGACGAUCCCUAGCUGGUCUGAGAGGAUGAUCAGCCACACUUGGACUGGGAAACGGCCCAGACUCCUACGGAGGCAGGCGUUGGGAAUAUUGCACAAUGGGGUCAAGCCUGAUGAAGCCAGGCCGCGUGUAUUAAGAAGGCCCUAUGGUUGUAAAGUACUUUCAGGCGGGAGGCGUUACCGACAGAAGAAGCACCGGCUAACUCCGUGCCAGCAGCCGCGGUAAUUC
rnacentral:rRNA from 1 species